AUACACUUCAUCAAAGCAGAAAUAACAUGACACGUUUUUUCUCCAUUUGUUUCAUAUUUACACAAGCGGCACUAGCAAAAAUGACUUAACGAACAGGCACAGUUUAACCACCCUAGUUUUGUUUGGCAACAAAAUAUAAUAUCCACUAUGGCCACCUGGGGGCGACAUUGAAUUGUUUUCAUUUUGUAAACCGGCUGACGGCUCUAUUUUCAACAGGGUUUCCUACUACAAUACGUUAUUUAGACAAUUAUAUUCAGUUACACUUUUUAUGCUUUACUCAGUCUUUCUCUGCACUCUCCUAAAUAAAAUUCCCACUUUCCAAGGAAAUGUGGUGGAAAUCUUGUCAGAUUUCUAAAAGCAAACCUAUAAAUCUGGUAUUGUUAAACAAAUACAACUAAGUGAAGUAAACAUUUAAAGUAUUUCUCUGCCAGUGUGCCUGAUAAAUGAAUGUAAUAUGGAUUAAAGAUUUUGUCGUUUUUAGAAAUUGUGCUGACUUAGUUGUUAGAUAGGAAAUGCACUACAUUUGUGUUACUCAAGUUCCUCGGUACAUAUCACGAGAUGUUUGGUGUUCUCCCCAUCAAAAUAAAUUGUCAGUGCAGUGCAGUGAAAUACCGCAUACCCAUUUGUUACCUCGUAAUGGCAACGGGUGCAGCUUUAUUUACAAACAUAACCAUAACCAACUGUUAGUGGCGAUUUAUUUUACAUGUAUUUUUUCCUCUGAUUCUCUAACUUUGUCAAAAAAAAAAAAAAAAAACGUGUAAUAAAAUUAAAUCGCGGCUCGGUUGAAAGAAAUACGACCACUUUUUCUUAUGACGCUCAUGGUGUUGCAUGUGGUUACAUCGGGGUGGGGGUUAUUGUUAGCUUCCACCCUGUGCCACCCCCAUGAUCCUACGCUGAUGGGGUAGCUGAAGAUAAACACAGCCCCGUAUUCCGUGUACUGUAUUUAUCAAGUUGUAGGCAAUUUUUUUGCAUCCCAUCUUAAACACGCCAGUGUUUGCCCUGCAUCUUUCAUCUCUUCCACUCUAUAGUAGUUCGUGGCAGCUUAGUCACAACAUUGUCUUCGUCGAAACAAUCAAUCAGUGGAAUUGGCAGCAGUCCUGUUGUUUUGCUUUACUGGGGUCUGAUUGUACAGACGGCUUCCGUCACAACUGCGUCAGCGGUGAGCUCAGAGUUGGGGGGGGGAGGGAGGGGGAAGGCAAGAGGUGAGGAAUAGGAGAGAGAGAGAAGGGUGUUGCCGCCUGUGAGACACACUCACGCAUCGCGGAGUAACAGCAGCAGGGUGAGAACAGAACGUUCCACUGUGAGAGAUAAGCGUCGCUUUUUGAAUUAUUAACGCCGCACAGAAAGGUUUUUCAUUAUUAAGAUUUGUCAUAGCACAGUGACUGCGGGGGCGCACUACAUCUGUACACCGGGGGGGACAGCGACAAAGAGCGGCCUGAAACAGACGGAAGGACCGACGCUGCGUUUCAGCACCUUGGACAGCGACCAUGGCUCCAGUGCUGGAGGACGCAGCUGGCCAUGUGGCAGUGCCUGCAGGCGUAGCUGCAGUGAGUGUCUUUGGCCUUGUUUUCACUGUGUCGGCCUUUGCAUGGAUCUGUUGCCAACGUAAAAACACCAAAUCCCAAAAGACACCUCCCUACAAGUUUGUGCACAUGCUCAAGGGGGUUGACAUCUACCCAGAGAGCCUCAGUGGCAAGAAGAAGUUUGCUGCAUCUGUCAACUCCACGUCAAAUGAAGCCUCUAAAACCGACAUCAACGGAAACUGCAACACCACGCCACCGUUGAGCCCGGGUGGUACAAAUAAAAUGGCACUAAGUCCAACAAAUGGGUCAAGACAGGCACUGCAUUUGGAUCUGGAGAAACGGGAUCUGAAUGGUAACAUCACCACCAAGCCGUUUCACCAUCACCACCAGAAAGUGCGAAGCUCCCCAGAACUAGAGUUGCCAUCACCUCACGCAGGGUUCUCCCAACCUGCUUCAGUGGACCUGACUUCUCCAUCUAGCACUGUCUCCAGCCAAGCACCCACCCCAGCGGUGGACAAGCCCCACGGAGAGGAGAAGGACGGGGGUCUGGGGACACUGCACUUCUCCCUGGAGUACCAGCCAGAGAAAAAGGCCUUCAUUGUCCAUAUCAAGGAAGCCCAUGGUCUGGCCCCAACUGAUGAACAGUCAAUGACCUCUGAUCCCUACAUCAAGUUGACCCUGCUGCCAGAGAAAAAACACAGGGUGAAGACCAGAGUCCUGAGGAAGACUCUGGACCCUGCCUUUGACGAGACUUUCAGCUUUUAUGGGAUCCCACUGGCCCGAGUGUCAGAGCUGGCUCUUCACUUCAUGGUGCUGAGCUUUGACAGGUUCUCCCGCGAUGAGGUCAUUGGAGAGACGCUCGUCCCGUUGUCUGGGAUUGACUUGACAGAAGGACGUGUCUUGAUGAGCCGAGAGAUUAUCAGGAGGAACGUGAAGAAGUGUUCAGGCCGAGGUGAGUUGCUGCUUUCCCUGUGUUACCAGUCCACCACUAACACCCUGACUGUGGUCGUCCUCAAGGCUCGCCAUCUGCCUAAGACUGAAAACAAUGGACCCACAGAUCCAUAUGUCAAGGUGAACAUGUUCCAUGGGAAAAAGCGUGUGUGCAAGAAGAAGACCCAUGUGAAGAAAUGCUCCCCCAACCCAGUCUUUAACGAGCUGUUUGUCUUUGAUCUACCUUCUGACGAGGCCCUGAAAGACACCAGCGUGGAGCUGCUGCUGAUGGACUCAGACUCGGGCAACUCUCGCAGUGCCAACAUGGUCCUGGGGCGCCUGGUCCUGGGAACGUCUUCACCUGGAACUCCCGGUGAGCACUGGAGGGAGAUCUGUGACCAUCCGCGGCGCCAGAUUGCAAAGUGGCACGCCAUGUCUGAGGAAUAGAACAGCUGACGUCUCCUCUGAGGUUCAACCAGGAGUGGGUGUGAAGGAAACAACAUCUUCUAGCCAGUAUCUGUUUGGUCUCUAAGUGAAGGUGGAAAAACCAUAGUGAGCGGACUUCAAUGUUGUGGCUCAUCAUACUGUCAAUCGUGUAAUUACUUAUCUCUGAAGUUAUCGGGUUUCACUAGAAAAGCAGGCAUGACAAACUGAGCCCCGUACCUUUAAAUGAUCCCAAAGACUGUCACUGGAAAUCACCGUGCAACAUGCAACAUCUCCAUGGCAACAACUGAUUGCCAUGGUAACCAUGUGCCGUGCUGAAUGUGUUAAAUGUCACGAUUACGCUUCUUUUUCUACUUCUACUUCGACUUCUUGGCCUACUUCUUGGUUUCCUUCUUUUGUCUGUUUUUGUUUUCUCCUUUUUUAAUUGUAUUCUUUGUCAUCUUCCUUUUUUUGUCCUUGUUUUUGUCUUUCCUCAACUCAGCUCUCUACUAAUAGGAAACAAUCCCAUCCAAUUAGAACAGGAAUAUCCAUGUUAAAGACACUGUAAAGGUUGAUUCUAAAAUUUAUUUUAUAAUGGCAAUAUUUCAAUACUAACAAACUAGAUUAAACUUUCUGUAGUUUUCCUGUUCAUUUAGUUAGCACAUUUUGUAAGUGGUUAGAGACAAAUGUCAUUUAGGGUUUAGUGCAACAGGGACUUGCAUUUCUUUGUGAGCUCAGUUGGAAUGGAUUCUGUUCUGUGUGCAGGUGUGUGUGUGUGUGUGGGGGGGGGGCUUAGGUAGAGUGUGUGAGUGUGUGUGUGUGUGUAUGUGAGUAAGAUUGUGUGCAUGUCAGCUCUGAAAAAACAACGAGAGCCACAUAAUGUUUACUGUAGGUGUUUUUCCCCUUACUGUGAGCACAAGACAGCUGAAAUGUAAAUGUAUGUAACUUACUAUAAAACCUGGCAAGUUCUAAGAAAAAGGAUUUUGAGGUCUUUAUUUCACUUGCGAUGCAGGGUGUAUUCCAUACUAUGUUAAUAUUCACAAGUGAAGUUAUAUUAACAAGCCACAAAAUGCAACUCGGUCACUCACUCACUCGUUUUAUCUUAUCCUAUCUCUUUAUUCCUCUUUAAUCUUUGCUGACCUUUGUGGAUCUUGGGGAUUUAUUUGGUAGGUUUCACUGAGCGGCAUUGCAAAAAUGUAUAAUAAAAUGCCCAUGUGUGCAGUCUGAGUGACAGAUGGGUUCGAACCCCAUGUUUGUUUGCAUUGGUGAUGGACAGUGAGAUCUCUGUGGACAAUGAUGUUUUACAGAUUAUAAUUUGAGGAGAGAAUACGGAGUAGGAAGAAGAGAUACUGGAGAGUGGGAGAGAGGCCUGCAUCGGACGAGGAAAUCAGAAUUCAUCCAACGUGUCUUUUGACUGGAGUCCCCAACAACUUCAUCUAUUGACAAAGGAUGUUCUGUCGUCGCGUAGACUCUCCAUGGGUUUGACCUGCAAGGGUUACAGGUUGUCAAGCAAUCUAACAGUUCUCCGUACAUUUACUCUGGGACAAAAGCACAGAAAUAACAAUCAGAGGCAUCGAAAUUUAGGUGUUUCAAAGACAGUGGCACUAUUGCAGGAGCCAGUCCAAUCUAGAACCAGGGAUCUACAGCAUGAGAAUCCCAGGCUGGCGUUCGGGGAGGAGAAUAAGAAAUGACUCAGAUUUGCAGAGCUCUGAAUGGCAUACCAAGUGCCACAACAAAGCUGAGAAGAGACACAUCUUUUCUGAUCUCAAGGAAGGAAUUCAGAAGUUUUCAGCGUAUAACAGCUGCGACGAUUGGAAACCUGGAGUUUUCUGGAGGGACACGUCCUAUGACUCUGCCAAGACCCCUGAGACAAAGAUCUGUUUAAGGCUUACUGAAGGGUCAGCUCUGCUUCUCUGAGUGUGCAGCCCUUAUCCUGGAAGACAGAGGAGUCAGACACACACACACACACACACACACUGACUGACACAUUGUGCAUGUGUGAAGGUGCUGAUACAGCAUGUCAGAGGUGUUAAAAUCCCAAAUGUUCAUUUCCAUUUUCCCUAACAUUUUGUCAAAUCAUCUAGACCACAUUUCUCAGACUGACUUUCCUGAUGCUGAUGUGACUGAAGGUGUAAGACCUUAACUCUAAAUCCUCUGGGUGCUGCCUAUCGGGAUGGUAUUUAAAUUGAUGGGCAAAGCAUCAGCUAGGACAGCACAGCUCAGACUAAUGAUUUUUCUCCAUCGACUCCAGCCAAACCUGCAUACCUCGAACACAGGAAGUGAACCACAAACAUAUGCGCACACAAAUACACACACAUCGACCUGAUCAUUACAGCUUAGCCUCUGUAAUGAGUGUGUGUCUACUUCUGCCACUAGGGUUUAAUUGUCUGGCCACAGGGAGGAGAAGAGAGUUAUCGACCACCUUGACACAGCAGUGUCAUUUAUCAAAACCAUGUGACACCCUUAGAGAGCAAAAUGGUAUGGUGUUUGCGUCAUGUUGUGUUGAAAUCUUUUUUUUUAGUCUGAUUGAAUUAGAUGUCGUCCUAGUUUCAAAUUGAAUCUACUCAAGAUACAUGAGUAGAUGACAAGUGAGGAUAAAACGAUUACAGAUCACAGAAGGAGAUACAAUAUGUUAAUUUUAACACAAUGGCCCUUUUUAAACAAAUCUUGGCAAUAAUUGUGUUAGAAAUAUUAAGGCGUAGAUGAAAAUGAAAAUUGAUCAAACACAGAGGUUGGUUGAUACUCAUAGCAGAUUCUCUGUCGAAUCACUCACUGAAAAAUAUUGUUAUACAGCCUGGGAUCUCACAGCUGGUAAAAACACAAGCAACUGUUUACAUUUGCUGACUAUAUGCAGACGGUGUGUUGGUAAUGCAAAUUAUAAAUAAAUAAUACUAUAUUAAUAUUUAUUUUUAUGAAAGAUUACACGUCAUCCGAACGCUACGGCUUAAGCCUUGAGAUCGCUGUGUUUGAGGGUGCCAUAUAACAAAAUGAAGACUAUGCCGGAUCUAGUUGUAACUCUGGACUUCUUCAGGUCUGCCCCCCGUAAGACUAACUUUAGAUGUGCUGUACCACCUUGUAUAAACUGUAAGUUCCUAAGCAUAGUGCUGUGGAACACCAGUGUGUCAUGAGAAAAUUGAUAGGCAGUACAGUUAAACACUUUUUCACUAGGUGGCAGCAGAUGGCUAUAAAAACGAGGGGGGGGGGGGCAGAAUCAUAGCUGUUAAACAAGAUCUUUGUGUGUGGCUUUCUUUAAUUCCUGUGAGUAUAUCAGGGUUGUGUUCAACCAAGCAGGCCUGGGUUUCACCCUUAGUAACUGUAUUUUGAUUAAAAUUAAUGAAUUUAAUUCUUAUAUUUUAUUGUAUAUUCUUUUGUGACAUUUGGUGAUGUGCUAUGGAUUUAGCUCAUGUCUAACAACUGUUGUGGCUCAAAAACGUUUGGAAAAACACAAAGUACUUUUUUCUGUAAUACUUCUAUAUGACUUGUGUCUAAAACAGAAUAAUGUCAAAACCAAUAAUUUGAGCACCAUUAGCACCACAUUAAACAUUCAAAACAUCCUGUUCCCUUUGUUGUGACCUCAUUUUAAACACACCUUUAAUGUUAAGAAAUUUUUAUUUUUAUCCAAACCACAAGCCUCACACUUAGUCACUGCAAUGACACUCAGUUGAAAUUUUAUUCACCACAAUAGAAAGUUGCUGCC